rnacentral:rRNA from 1 species
GAGCGGCGGACGGGUGAGUAACACGUGGGCAACCUGCCUGUAAGACUGGGAUAACCCCGGGAAACCGGGGCUAAUACCGGAUAAUACUUUCUUUUGCAUAAAGGAAAGUUGAAAGGCGGCUUCGGCUGUCACUUACAGAUGGGCCCGCGGCGCAUUAGCUAGUUGGUGAGGUAACGGCUCACCAAGGCGACGAUGCGUAGCCGACCUGAGAGGGUGAUCGGCCACACUGGGACUGAGACACGGCCCAGACUCCUACGGGAGGCAGCAGUAGGGAAUCUUCCGCAAUGGACGAAAGUCUGACGGAGCAACGCCGCGUGAGUGAUGAAGGUUUUCGGAUCGUAAAACUCUGUUGUUAGGGAAGAACAAGUUGGGUAGUAACUGACCCAACCUUGACGGUACCUAACCAGAAAGCCACGGCUAACUACGUGCCAGCAGCCGCGGUAAUACGUAGGUGGCAAGCGUUGUCCGGAAUUAUUGGGCGUAAAGCGCUCGCAGGCGGUCCUUUAAGUCUGAUGUGAAAUCUCGCGGCUCAACCGCGAACGGUCAUUGGAAACUGGAGGACUUGAGUACAGAAGAGGAGAGUGGAAUUCCACGUGUAGCGGUGAAAUGCGUAG